rnacentral:rRNA from 1 species
GUCUACUGCCAUGCUAACCCUGAGCAAGCCUGAUCCCGUCUGAUCUUGUGAAGCUAAGCAGGGUCGGGCCUGGUUAGUAUUGGGAUGGGAGACCACCUAGGAAGACGAGGUGCUGUAGGCG